rnacentral:tmRNA from 2 species
GGGAGCGACUUGGCUUCGACAGGAGUAAGUCUGCUUAGAUGGCAUGUCGCUUUGGGCAAAGCGUAAAAAGCCCAAAUAAAAUUAAACGCAAACAACGUUAAAUUCGCUCCUGCUUACGCUAAAGCUGCGUAAGUUCAGUUGAGCCUGAAAUUUAAGUCAUACUAUCUAGCUUAAUUUUCGGUCAUUUUUGAUAGUGUAGCCUUGCGUUUGACAAGCGUUGAGGUGAAAUAAAGUCUUAGCCUUGCUUUUGAGUUUUGGAAGAUGAGCGAAGUAGGGUGAAGUAGUCAUCUUUGCUAAGCAUGUAGAGGUCUUUGUGGGAUUAUUUUUGGACAGGGGUUCGAUUCCCCUCGCUUCCA